rnacentral:rRNA from 1 species
AGCUGGAUUCGCUAGUAAUCGCGCAUCAGCCAUGGCGCGGUGAAUACGUUCCCGGGCCUUGUACACACCGCCCGUCAAGCCAUGGGAGCCGGGGGUGCUUGAAGUGCGUCGCCGCGAGGCGCGCCCUAGAGCAAAACCGGUGACUGGGGCUAAGUCGUAACAAGGUAGC